UACAGAGGGUGCAAGCGUUAAUCGGAGUUACUGGGCGUAAAGGGCGCGUAGGCGGUGAGGUAAGUGUGAUGUGAAAGCCCCGGGCUUAACCUGGGAAGUGCAUCGCAAACGACCUCACUGGAGUAUAAGAGAGGGUGGUGGAAUUUCCGGUGUAGCGGUGAAAUGCGUAGAGAUCGGAAGGAACGUCAAUGGCGAAGGCAGCCACCUGGCUUAAUACUGACGCUGAGGCGCGAAAGCGUGGGGAGCAAACAGG
rnacentral:rRNA from 1 species